rnacentral:SRP_RNA from 1 species
GCUGGGCGUGGUGGCGGGCGCCUGUAGUCCCAGCUACUCGGAGGCUGAGGCAGGAGAAUGGCGUGAACCCAGGAGGUGGAGCUUGCAGUGAGCCGAGAUCGUGCCACUGCACUCCAGCCUGGGUGACAAAGCGAGACUCCGUCUCAA